rnacentral:rRNA from 1 species
GACGAACGCUGGCGGCGUGCUUAACACAUGCAAGUCGAACGGAAAGGCCCUGCUUUUGUGGGGUGCUCGAGUGGCGAACGGGUGAGUAACACGUGAGUAACCUGCCCUUGACUUUGGGAUAACUUCAGGAAACUGGGGCUAAUACCGGAUAGGAGCUCCUGCUACAUGGUGGGGGUUGGAAAGUUUCGGCGGUUGGGGAUGGACUCGCGGCUUAUCAGCUUGUUGGUGGGGUAGUGGCUUACCAAGGCUUUGACGGGUAGCCGGCCUGAGAGGGUGACCGGCCACAUUGGGACUGAGAUGCGGCCCAGACUCCUACGGGAGGCAGCAGUGGGGAAUAUUGCACAAUGGGCGGAAGCCUGAUGCAGCAACGCCGCGUGCGGGAUGACGGCCUUCGGGUUGUAAACCGCUUCCGCCUGUGACGAAGCGUGAGUGACGGUAAUGGGUAAAGAAGCACCGGCUAACUACGUG